rnacentral:rRNA from 1 species
CCUACGGGGUGCAGCAGUGAGGAAUAUUGGUCAAUGGACGAGAGUCUGAACCAGCCAAGUAGCGUGAAGGAUGACUGCCCUAUGGGUUGUAAACUUCUUUUAUAUGGGAAUAAAACGUUCCACGUGUGGGAUUUUGUAUGUACCAUAUGAAUAAGGAUCGGCUAACUCCGUGCCAGCAGCCGCGGUAAUACGGAGGAUCCGAGCGUUAUCCGGAUUUAUUGGGUUUAAAGGGAGCGUAGGUGGAUUGUUAAGUCAGUUGUGAAAGUUUGCGGCUCAACCGUAAAAUUGCAGUUGAAAAUGGCAGUCUUGAGUACAGUAGAGGUGGGCGGAAUUCGUGGUGUAGCGGUGAAAUGCUUAGAUAUCACGAAGAACUCCGAUUGCGAAGGCAGUUCACUGGACUGCAACUGACACUGAGGCUCGAAAGUGUGGGUAUCAAACAGGAUUAGAUACCCGGGUAGUC